CCAGGUUCAAGUGAUUCUCCUGCCUCAGCCUCCUGAGUUGCUGGGAUUACAGGCAUGUGCCACCAUGCCUGGCUAAUUUUGUAUUUUUAGUAGAGAUGGGGUUUCUCCAUGUUGGUCAGGCUGGUCUCGAACUCCUGACCUCAGGUGAUCUGCCUGCUUCAGCCUCCCAAAAUGUUGGGAUUACAGGUGUGAGCCACUGCAGCCAGCCAAUUUUUGUAUUUUUAGUAGAGAAGAGGUUUCACCAUGUUGCACAGGCUGGUCUCGAACUCCUGACCUCAAGUGAUCCACCCCCUUCAGCCUCCCAAAGUGUGGGAUUACAGGCACGAGCCACCACACCUGGCCUAAAUGUGUGUGUGUGUUUUUUUUAAUAAUUUUCACCAGUUUCACUGGGGAGCUGGUCAGUGGAACUCCUCACAUUGUCAUGCCAGUUGUUGAUCCCUGUCCAUCCAUUCUUGAUAAAAAUCUCAAAAUAACAAUAUAUAUAUUUUUCCCAAUGCAAAACAAGAAUCAUGUUUAAUCACAGAAAAACUAGAUACAUUUAUAAUAAAGUUGGAAACGGUAUAAGAAUGUCUACUGUCAACUCUUCCAAGAUGGCCGAAUAGGAACAGCUCCUGUCUGCAGCUCCCAGCGAGAUCGACACAGAAGAUGGGUGAUUUCUGCAUUUCCAACCUAGGUACCUGGUUCAUCUCACUGGGACUGGUUGAACAGUGGGUGCAGCCCACAGAGGGAGAGCGAAGCAGGGCAUGGUGUCACCUCACCCAGGAAGUGCAAGGGGUCAGGGGAUUUCCCUUUCCUAAUCAAGGGAAGCGGUGAGAGACUGUACCAGGAGGAACAGUACACUCUGCCCAAAUACUGCACCUUUCCCAUUGUCUUCACAACUGGCAGACCAGGAGAUUCCCUCUGGUGCCUGGCUUGGCAGGUCCCAUGACCACAGAGCCCAGCAAUCUAUGAUCCAUUGGCUUGAUAUUCUUGCUGCUAGCGCAGCGGUCUGGGAUUGACCUGGGACACUGGAGCUUGGUGGGGGGAGGGGUGUCUGCCAUUGCUGAGGCUUGAGUAGGCAGUUUUAUGCUCACAGCAUAAACAAAGCUGCCAGGAAGCUUGAACUGGGCAGAGCCCACCACAGCUCAGCAAGGCCAACUGCCUCUCUAGAUUCCACCUCUGUGGGCAGGGCAUAUCGGAACAAAAGGCAGCAGCCCUAGUCAGGGACUUAUAGUUAAAACCCUCAUCCCCCUGGGACAGAGCACCUGGGGAAAGGGGCAGCUGUGGGCACAGCUUCUCCAGACUUCAAUGUCCCUGCCUGACAGCUCUGAAGAGAGCAGUGGUUCUCCCAGCAUGGCAUUCAAGCUCUGGGACAGACUGCCUCCUCAAGUGGGUCCCUGACCGCUGUGUAGCCUGACUGGGAGACAUCUCCCAGUAGGGGCCAACAGACACCUCAUACAGGAGAGUUCUGGCUGGCAUCUGGUGGGCGCCCCUCUGGGACGAAGCUUCCAGAGGAAGUAUCAGGCAGCAAUAUUUGCUGUUUUGCAGCCUCCUCUGGUGAUACCCAGAAAAACAGAGUCUGGAGUGGACCUCCAGCAAACUCCAACAGACCUUCAGCUGAGAGACCUGACUGUUAGAAGGAAAACUAACAAACAGAAAGGAAUAGCAUCAACAUCAACAAAAAGGACAUCCACACCAAAACCCCAUCCGUAGGUCAGCAACAUCAAAAACCAAAGGUAGAUAAAACCACAAAGAUGAGGGGAAACCGGAACAGAGAGGCUGAAAAUUCCAAAAACCAGAACACCUCUUCUCCUCCAAAGGAUUACAACUCCUUGCCAGCAAGGGAACAAAACUGGAUGGAGAAUGAGUUUGAUGAGUUGAUAGAAGUAGGCUUCAGAAAGUGGGUAAUAACAAACUUCUCUGAGCUAAAGGAGCAUGUUCCAACCCAUCACAAGGAAGCUAAAAACCUUGAAAAAAGGUUAGAGGAAUGGCUAACUAGAAUAACCAGUGUAGAGAAGAGCAUAAAUGACCUGAUGGAACUGAAAAACACAGCAUGAGAACUUCAUGAGGCAUACACAAACUUCAAUAGCUGAUUUGAUCAAGCGGAAGAAAGGGAAGAAAGUGACUGAAGAUCAAAUUAAUGAAAUAAAGUGGGAAGACAAGAUUACAGAAAAAAGAAUAAAAAGAAAGAAAGCCUCCAAGAAAUAUGGGACUAUGUGAAAAGACCAAAUCUACAUUUGAUUGGUGUACCUGAAAGUGAUGGGGAGAAUGGAACCAAGUGAGAAAACACUCUUCAGGAUAUUAUCGAGGAGAACUUCCCCAACCUAGCAAGGCAGGCCAACAUUCAAAUUCAGGAAAUAUGAGAACAUCACAAAGAUAUUCCUCGAGAAGAGCAACCCCAAGGCACAUAAUAGUCAGAUUCACCAAGGUUGAAAUGAAAGAAAAAAUGUUAAGGGCUGCCAGAGAGAAAGGUUGGGUUACCCACGAAGGGGAGCCCAUCAGACUAACAGCGGAUCUCUCUGCAGAAACCUUUCAAGCCAGAAGACAGUGGGGGCCAAUAUUCAACGUUCUCAUAUGUAACUAAUGUGCACGUUGUGCACAUGUACCCUAAAACUUAAAGUUAAAUAAAAAAAAAAAGAAUUUUCAACCCAGAAUUUCAUAUCCAGCCAAACUAAGCUUCAUAAGUGAAGGAGAAAUAAAAUCCUUUAAAGACAAGCAAAUGCUGAGAGCUUUUGUCACCACCAGGCCUGCCUUACAAGAGCUCUUGAAGGAAGCACUAAACAUGGAAAGGAGCAACUGGUACCAGUCACUGCAAAAACAUGCCAAAUUGUAAAGACCAUCAACGCUAUGAAGAAACUGCAUCAAUUAACAGGCAAAAUAACCAGCUAGCAUCAUAAUGACAGGAUCAAAUUCACACAUAACAAUAUUAACCUUAAAUGUAAAUGGGUUAAAUGCCCCAAUUAAAAGACACGGACUGGCAAAUUGGAUAAAGAGUCAAGACCCAUUGAUGUGCUAUAUUCAGGAGACUCAUCUCAUGUGCAAAGACACAUGUAGGUUCAAAAUAAAGGGAUGGAGGAAGAUCUGCCAAGCAAAAGAAAAGAAAAAAUAAAAGCAGAAGUUGCAAUCCUAGUCUCUGAUAAAACAGACUUUACACCAACAAAGAUCAAAAGAGACAAAGAGGACCAUUACAUAAUGGUAAAGGGAUCAAUUCAACAAGAAGAGCUAACUAUCCUAAAUAUAUAUGCACCCAAUACAGAAGCACCCAGAUUCAUAAAGCAAGUUCUUAGAGACCUACAAAGAGACUUAGACUCCCACACAAUAAUAAUGGAAGACUUUAACACUCCACUGUCAAUAUUAGACAGAUCAACAAGACGGAAAAUUAGCAAGGAUAUCCAGUACUUGAACUCAGCUCUGGACCAAGUAGACCUAAUAGACAUCUACAGAACUCUCCACCCCAAAUCAACAGAAUAUACAUUCUUCUCAGCAUCACCUCACACUUAUUCUAAAAUUGACCACAUAAUUGGAAGUAAAACACUCAUCAGCAAAUGUAAAAUAAUAGAAAUCACAACAAACUGUCUCUUAGACCACAGUGCAAUCAAAUUAGAACUCAGGAUUAAGAAACUCACUCUAAACCACACAACUACAUGGAAACUGAACAGCUUGCUCCUGAAUGACUACUGGGUAAAUAACGAAACGAAGGCAGAAAUGAAGAUGUUCUUUGAAAUCAAUGAGAACAAAGACACAAUGUACCAGAAUCUCUGGGACACAUUUAAGGCAGCGUGUAGAGGGAAAUUUAUAGCACUAAAUGCCCACAAGAGAAAGCAGGAAAGAUCUAAAAUUGACACCCUAGCAUCACAAUUAAAAGAACUGGAGAAGCAAGAGCAAACACAUUCAAAAGCUAGCGGAAGACAAGAAAUAACUAAGAUCAGAGCAGAACUGAACGAGAUAGAGACACAAAAAUCCCUUCAAAAAAUCAAUGAAUCCAGGAGCUGGUUUUUUGAAAAGGGAACAAAAUAGAUAGAAUGCUAGCAAGACUAAUAAAGAAGAAAAGAGAGAAGACUCAAAUAGAUGCAAUAAAAAAUGAUAAAGGGGAUAUCACCACCAAUCCCACAGAAAUACAAACUACCAUCAGAGAAUACUAUAAACAUCUCUAUGCAAAUAAAUUAGAAAAUCUAGAAGAAAUGGAUAAAUUCCUGGACACAUACACCCUCCCAAGACUAAACCAGGAAGAAGUCGAAUCUCUGAAUAGACCAAUAACAGGUUCUGAAAUUGAGGCAAUAAUUAGCCUACCAACCAAAAAAAGUCCAGGACCAGAUGGAUUCACAGCUGAAUUCUACCAGAGGUACAAAGAGGAGCUGGUACCAUUCCUUCUGAAAUUAUUCCAAUCAAUAGAAAAAGAGGGAAUCCUCCCUAACUCGUUUUAUGAGGCCAGCAUCAUCCUGAUACCAAAGCCUGGCAGAGACACAACAAAAAAAGAGAAUUUUGGGUCAAUAUCCCUGAUGAACAUCAAUGCAAAAAUCCUCAAUAAAAUACUGGCAAACCGAAUCCAGCAGCACUUCAAAAAGCUUAUCCACCAUGAUCAAGUCAGCUUCAUCCCUGGGAUGCAAGACUGGUUCAACAUACCCAAAUCAAUAAACGUAAUCCAUCACAUAAACAGAACCAAUGACAAAAACCACAUGAUUAUCUCAAUAGAUGCAGGAAAGGCCUUUGACAAAAUUCAACAGCCCUGCAUGCUAAAAACUCUCAAUAAACUAGGUAUUGAUGGAUGUAUCUCAAAAUAAUAAGAGCUAUUUAUGACAAACUCACAGUCAAUAUCAUAGUGAAUGGGCAAAAACUGGAAGCAUUCCCUUUGAAAACUGGCACAUGACAAGGAUGCCCUCUCUCACCACUCCUAUUCAACAUAAUGUUGGAAGUUCUGGCCAGGACAAUCAGGCAGGAAAAAGAAAUAAAAGGUAUUCAAUUAGGAAAAGAGGAAGUCAAAUUGUCUCUCUUUGCAGACGACAUGAUUUUAUAUUUAGAAAACCACAUUGUCUCAGCCCAAAAUCUCCUUUAAGCUGAUAAGCAACUUCAGCAAAGUCUCAGGAUACAAAAUCAAUGUGCAAAAAUCACAAGCAUUCCUAUACACCAAUAGCAGACAAACAGCCAAAUCAUGAGUGAACUCCCAUUCACAAUUGCUACAAAGAUAAUAAAAUACCUAGGAAUCCAACUUACGAGGGAUGUGAAGGAACUCUUCAAGGAGAACUACAAACCAUUGCUCAAUGAAAUAAAAGAGGACACAAACAAGUGGAAGAACAUUCCAUGCUCAUGGAUAGGAAGAAUCAUUAUUAUGAAAAUGGCCAUACUGCCCAAAGUAAUUUAUAGAUUCAGUGCUAUCCCCAUCAAGCUACCACUGACUAUCUUCACAGAAUUGGAAAAAACUACUUUAAAGUUCAUAUGGAGCCAAAAAAGGGCCUGCAUAGCCAAAACAAUCCUAAGCAAAAAGAACAAAGCUGGAGGCAUCAUGCUACCUGACUUCAAACUAUACCUCAAGGCUGCAGUAACCAAAACUGCAUGGUAUUGGUACCAAAACAGAUAUAUAGACCAAUGGAACAGAACAGAGGCCUCAGAAACAACACCACACAUCUACAACCAUCUGAUCUUUGACAAACCUGACAAAAGCAAGCACUGGGAAAGGAUUCUCUAUUUAAUAAAUGGUGCUGGGAAAACUGGCUAGCCAUAUGUAGAAAGCUGAAACUGGAUCCCUUCCUUACACCUUACACAAAAAUUAACUCAAGAUGGGUUAAAGACUUAAAUGUAAGACCUAAAACCAUAAAAACCCUAGAAGAAAACCUAGGCAAUACCAUUCAGGAUGUAGGCAUGGACAAAGACUUCAUGACUAAAACACCAAAAGCAAUGGCAACAAAAGCCAAAAUAGAUAAAUGGGAUCUAAUUAAACUAAGGGAUUUUGCAUGCAAAAGAAACUAUCAGCAGAGCGAACAGGCAACCUACAGAAUGGGAGAAAAUUUUUGCAAUCUAUCCAUCUGACAAAGGUCUAAUAUCCAGAAUCUACAAAGAACUUAAACAAACAAACAACCCCAUCAAAAAGUGGGCAAAGGAUAUGAACAGACACUUCUCAAAAGAAGACAUUUAUGCAUCCAACAGACAUAUGAAAAAAUGCUGCUCAUCAGUGGUCAUUAGAGAAAUGCAAAUCAAAACCACAAUGAGAUACCAUCAUGCCAGUUAGAAUGGUGAUCAUUAAAAAGUCAGGAAACAACAGAUGCUGGAAAGGAUGUGGAGAAAUAGAAAAGCUUUUACACUGUUGGUGGGAGUGUAAAUUAGUUCAACCAUUGUGGAAUACAGUGUGGCGAUUCCUCAAGGAUGUAGAACUAGAAACAUCAUUUGACCCAGCAAUCCCAUUACUGGGUAUAUACCCAAAGGAUUAUAAAUCAUGCUGCUAUAAAGACAUAUGCACAUGCAUGUUUAUUGUGGCACUAUUCACAAUAGCAAAGACUUGGAACCAACCCAAACGUCCAUAAUAAUAUAGUGGAUAAAGAAAAUGUGGCACAUAUACACCAUGGAAUACUAUGCAGCCAUAAAAAAGGAUGAGUUCAUGUCCUUUGUAGGGAUAUGGAUGAAGCUGGAAACCGUCAUUCUCAGCAAACUAUCACAAGGACAGAAAACCAAACACUGCAUGUUCUCACUCAUAAGUGGGAAUUGAACAAUGAGAACACAUGGACACAGGGAGGGGAACAUCACACACUGGGACCUGUCGGGGGGUGGGGGGUGGGGGAGGGAUAGCAUUAGGAGAACUACCUAAUAUAAAUGACGAAUUGAUGGGGGCAGCCAACCAACAUGGCACAUGUAUACCUAUGUAACAACCCUGCACGUUGUGCACAUGUACCCCAGAACUUAAUGUAUAGUAAUAAUAAUAAUAAAGAAUGUCUACUGUCUUCACUAUUAUUUAACAUUGUUUUGCAGAUACUAGUCAAGGCAACUAGAUAAGAGAAAAAAUUAUAGGUAUAAAAUUUGGAAAGGAGGUACAGUUAUAAUUAUUUGCAGACAGAAUGUAUAGCUGAAAAAGCUGAAGCAAUCAAAAGCAA
rnacentral:lncRNA from 1 species